AGCAGCCGCGGUAAUUCCAGCUCCAAUAGCGUAUAUUAAAGUUGUUGCAGUUAAAAGCUCGUAGUUGAAUUUCGGGACUAAUAUGUCGGUCGUGCCUCGGUACGUACUGGUUUAUUGGUUUCUCCUUUCUGAAGAACCAUGAUGUCAUUUAUUUGGUGUCGUGGGGAAUCAGGACUGUUACUUUGAAAAAUUAGAGUGUUUAAAGCAGGCUCACGCUUGAAUACAUUAGCAUGGAAUAAUGAAAUAGGACGUUUGAUUCUAUUUUGUUGGUUUCUAGGAUCGACGUAAUGAUUAAUAGGGAUAGUUGGGGGCAUUAGUAUUCAAUUGUCAGAGGUGAAAUUCUUGGAUUUAUUGAAGACUAACUACUGCGAAAGCAUUUGCCAAGGAUGUUUUCAUUAAUCAAGAACGAAAGUUAGGGGAUCGAAGACGAUCAGAUACCGUCGUAGUCUUAACCAUAAACUAUGCCGACUAGGGAUCGGAUGAUGUUAAUUUUUAAUGACUCAUUCGGCGCCUUACGGGA
rnacentral:misc_RNA from 1 species